rnacentral:lncRNA from 1 species
UUAACCUUUCGUGUUUGUGCCUGUGCCACUUUAGGCAGGAAAAAGGAGAAAAAGGGUAUGUGCCAUUGUCCUGUCUGACACAUAUUAUUCUUUGUUUUUUUCUUAAACUGCUGGCAGGAGCUGUGCGCAUCCCAAACCCAACUGGAUCACAAAUCGUUUCAGCUUUGGUGCACAAGAACAUAGAGAUGCAAGUGAAGAGUUGGUAUUCUUUUGGCUGUCCUGGUUAUCCAGAUGAGAUUCUUCAGAGAACAAACUUUUAGACUUGUGGUCUGGGCUGCGGUGGAACCUGGGCCAUCCAACUGUGAAUGAACGGCAAACCUCCCGUUUCCCUGAAAAAGCAGAGGCCGCGGUCGGCCUUCGGUCUUCCUCUUCUCCGGUUCUCCCCGAAGCCCGUCUGCCUUUUCAGUUCGCGAUCGAGGAAAGAGUCUCGCGGGGGUCAAGGAGCUAGGGGUCGAGGAUCAUCGGAAGAGCAGCGGGGAGGAGGGGAAGAUGAUCGAGGUGGUGCUGAACGACCGCCUGGGGAAGAAGGUGCGGGUCAAGUGCAACGAGGACGACACCAUCGGCGACCUCAAGAAGCUGGUGGCGGCGCAGACGGGGACGCGCCCCGAGAAGAUCCGCAUCCAGAAGUGGUACAACAUCUACAAGGACCACAUCACCCUCAAGGACUACGAGAUCCACGACGGCAUGGGCCUCGAGCUCUACUACAACUAGCUGCCCUGACUCCACAUGUCCCUCUUAUCAGGUAAGAAUCCCUCCCCGGAUUCGGAGCUGUUCCUCUUCGUUCCUGCGC